rnacentral:rRNA from 1 species
AUUGAACGCUGGCGGCAGGCCUAACACAUGCAAGUCGAGCGGUAGCACAGAGAGCUUGCUCUCGGGUGACGAGCGGCGGACGGGUGAGUAAUGUCUGGGAAACUGCCUGAUGGAGGGGGAUAACUACUGGAAACGGUAGCUAAUACCGCAUAACGUCGCAAGACCAAAGUGGGGGACCUUCGGGCCUCAUGCCAUCAGAUGUGCCCAGAUGGGAUUAGCUAGUAGGUGGGGUAAUGGCUCACCUAGGCGACGAUCCCUAGCUGGUCUGAGAGGAUGACCAGCCACACUGGAACUGAGACACGGUCCAGACUCCUACGGGAGGCAGCAGUGGGGAAUAUUGCACAAUGGGCGCAAGCCUGAUGCAGCCAUGCCGCGUGUAUGAAGAAGGCCUUCGGGUUGUAAAGU